rnacentral:lncRNA from 1 species
CUCAGCGACAGGUUUUAGAAUCCUGAAAUCUAAGUAAAGGUACAUCAUUCCUAUUUUCGUGUUUUUUUAAUUCCUAUCAUCAUGGCCAUGAUUAAACGUGAAUAUGCAUGCCAACCUUGCAUACUCAGUGAUUAAUUUCUGGGUGAAUGUUUCUUUGGACGAGGGUUUGCAGAUAUGAAUACUUGGGGGCAGAUGGUCACCAUGUUGGAGCCAUUGAUACUGAUACAACUUGGGAAGUAGUUGGUUAUAUUCAAAUCAGAAAUAAAAUUGUUGUAUAUAUUCCGCAUUUGAUUGAAAAUCUGUAAUUUUAUGAAUCAUUUAUUCGGAUUUAAUGUCAAUUAAAUAGAAAUUAUUCUUCUUUGAUAUCAUUGUGCGCAACACAUAAUUUCACUUAGUUUUUUUUCCACAGUAAGAUUCCGUAUAAUUAAUCUCUACAAUUUAUUCAUGUGUUCAUGGUCACCACUUAAUUAUUUAGUGAUUGGGUGUUGAGUGUUGACCACCGAAUGUUUCUUUUUUCAG